rnacentral:misc_RNA from 1 species
AAGUCGUAACAAGGUUUCCGUAGGUGAACCUGCGGAAGGAUCAUUACCACAUCCAAAAUCUUACAAACCCACAAGUGUGAAGUUGUGAUGAGGAACUUUCUUCAUUUUUUUUUUGAACCCCUUUUGAACUUUUUACCAAGAGAAUAAGCAAGACUAAAAAUGAGAAAAUGAGAAAAGAGAAAACAACUUUUAACGGUGGAUCUCUUGGCUCGU